rnacentral:rRNA from 1 species
GACACAGGGAGGUAGUGACAAGAAAUAACAAUACAGGGCUACAUCUAGUCUUGUAAUUGGAAUGAGUACAAUUUACAUCUCUUCACGAGGAUCAAUUGGAGGGCAAGUCUGGUGCCAGCAGCCGCGGUAAUUCCAGCUCCAAUAGCGUAUAUUAAAGUUGUUGCAGUUAGAACGCUCGUAGUCGGAUUUCGGGGCGGGCCGACCGGUCUGCCGAUGGGUACGCACUGGCCGGCGCGUCCUUCCUUCCGGAGACCGUGCCUACUCUUAACUGAGCGGGGGCGGGAGACGGAUCGUUUACUUUGAAAAAAUCAGAGUGUUUCAAGCAGGCAGCUCGCUCUUGCAUGGAUUAGCAUGGGAUAAUGAAAUAGGACUUUGGUGCUAUUUUGUUGGUUUCGAACACCGAAGUAAUGAUUAAAAGGGACAGUCAGGGGCACUCGUAUUCCGCCGAGAGAGGUGAAAUUCUCAGACCAGCGGAAGACGAACCACUGCGAAAGCAUUUGCCAGGGAUGUUUUCACUGAUCAAGAACGAAAGUUAGGGGAUCGAAGAGGAUCAGAUACCCUCGUAGUCUUAACCAUAAACCAUGCCGACUAGGGAUUGGGGGGAUGUUCACAUUUGACUCCCUCAGCACCUUACGGGAAACUAAAGUCUUUGGGUUCCGGGGGGAGUAUGGUCGCAAGGCUGAAACUCAA